UGAUGCACGUGCCCAGGUGGAAGAUUCCCGCUUGCCAUGUGGAACAACACCUCUCGACAGUACGACAGGUACUCUAGGGCUGCUGCUGAGUGGGAGGAGGCAGACCACAGCAGUCAGAGACCCCAGUGGAUGACGUGGAGGAGUAUUACAGGGAAGGCAAGAGCCUGCACAGCUGCAUGGUUGAAGCCGUCCUGCCAAGGCUGCAGAACAGAUGCAGCUAGAACUCUGGAUCAGGCUCCAAGGUCAGUGCAGCUUGAGGUGUUUUUGGAGACCCUUGGUGUGUCCCAGUCCACUUUGAGCGGUGUCCGCCUCAUCUGCGUCUUCCUGUGGCUGUCACCUGCUACUGGCUGAGGCACGCCCAUCCCCCCCAGAACUGCAUGUCCUGCAGGCCCUGCUACUAGGAUUGGUGUACGGAGAGCUCUGCAGACAGAGAGAGCCAAAGAGGGUUUAUGGAGGGGCCAGUGUUGGAGAGGCUGAGAGGGCUGAUUCAGAGAGGUAGAAGGAGCCUAGACCUGGGUGUGGCCACGCCUACAGCCAGUGGCAGUGCUGCCUGAAAGAAAGCCUUGACCUGAACCAACUGCUGUGCUCCCUCUAGCCGAGCCCCAGUGUGCCUGGCUGUACAAGGGCAC